GGGUCCCAGUCCCUGACUGCAAAAGGAAGCCAAAACUGACAACAACGUCUCCUUCUCUACGGAGGUUUGUAGAAAGGCUGUACAAAAAUCUCACAAGAUGUAUUUCUUCUCGUGGACUGGAGUCCCAAGGUGCUUAAGAGCUCUUCAAUUUGUUAAUGGAAAGAAACACCAUUUACACCGGAUGGCUACAAAGCAACCUUAUUCUGAGAGAGAGGAUCUCAUUCUGUCACCCAGGCUGGAGUGCAUGAUCAUAGCUCACUGCAGCCUCGACCUCCUGGGCUCAAGUGAUCCUCCUGCUCCAGCCUCUCAAGUAGCUAGGACUACAGAUCUUUUCUCAGAAUAGCAGUCUGUAGGCUGUCACCUAAAGUGUCCUGUUUUCAGUGCUGCACCUGCUCUGAGCUUCAUCUUUUUACGAAGACGUCAUGGUGUGCUAUCUGUACUGGGAAACUUUCCCCAGCAUCAGCCAUCUCCUGAAGAUAACAUUGUCUGCUAGAGAUUGUCAUGUAUGUGGAUUGAAUCUCUUUAUCUUCAUGCUCUUUCUGCCUGAAGACAAGAGCAACUCCACUUUACCACCAGGUGCAGCAGCAACAGCCUUCUAUAGUGUCUCCAUGCCAGCCUCUAGCAUCUAGAUGUUCCCAGCUUUCUACAGUGCCCUGUAAGCUCGCACUCUCUCCCUCUGCCAGUGUCACAGGAGGGUCGGUUAGUGACACAUCCCUGAUCUUUCAACCUCCUGCCUCCCUCAACCGUGUAAUGUCCAAGUCCUAUAAUAGAUCUUUCAAUCUAUGAUGCUUAUCGUGGUUCUGCUUCCCAAUUCAAACCCUGGCUGAGAUGUGGUCUUAUGAGGGGACAUUCCAUGGUGUGCUGAAAGUCACCCCACAGUAUCCCCAUGAUAAACAUACAGAAUAGCUGUGAAUUUCUCUUAGAGAGCCCAGGACAUGAUCAAAACUGGAUUGUCUGCCAGGCUGAAGAGACCCCAGGGUGAACAGAAAACGAUGGAAGCUGCUCUCUGGCCUGCCAGCCAAUCACAUAUUCCUUUAAGACUACCUACCAUGCCAGUUCCGAACUCAGCUGCAGGCAGCCAUCAGGUACUUAUAAAGUAGCUGUCAUGACUGGGGAACUGAAUUUUAAAUUUUAAUUAAGUUUAAAUGUAAAAACUGAUAACUUGAGUCUGUUAUUGAAAAACCUU
rnacentral:lncRNA from 10 species